rnacentral:rRNA from 1 species
UGCCAGCAUCCGCUGUACUACUUAUUGAGCGAUCGUUAUCCGGAAUUAUUGGGCGUAAAGCGCGCGUAGGCGGUUUUGUAAGUCGGAUGUGAAAGCCCAGGGCUCAACCCUGGAAUUGCAUUCGAUACUGCAUAACUAGAGUAUGGUAGAGGGAAGUGGAAUUUCCGGUGUAGCGGUGAAAUGCGUAGAUAUCGGAAGGAACACCAGUGGCGAAGGCGACUUCCUGGGCCAAUACUGACGCUGAGGUGCGAAAGCGUGGGGAGCAAACAGGAUUAGAUA